UUUUUUGGCUGGCCUAACCAU
rnacentral:piRNA from 1 species